AAAAAAAAAAAAAACUUUUUUAAGCUCCAAACCUUCUUUUAAUCUAGCCCUUUCUUUUUAAUACCCCAAAGCCUCACUGCAGUCCUUAAACCUGACUUGGAAGCCUCAAUGGAGGCUUUUAAAACCCCUUUUUUUUUUUUUCAGGUCUAAGCCCAUUUGUGACGGCUUGAGGACAAGCCCAGAGUAAAACCUCCACCUCAAAGGGGGUUCUUUCCAACCUUAAAGAUUUUAUCAAUUCAGGCUAAAAAAACCUUUUAAGGGACCACAAACUGGCCGCCCUCCCUGAGAGCCCCCUCAGCCUCCCUCCUGUGCCAUGAGGGGGGAGCCGAGGCUGUGCCCCCCUUUUUGGGGUCUCCUCAAAAAGAAAAACGAAAUUCUGGAGGACUGGGGGGGAAAGCAGUGUUUUGUGGUUGUAGAACACGCGGUAAACACAAGAUUUCAAGGAUUUGGGUGGACAAAUGAGGGGUCACACCCCAGCCCCAUUUUGAGAGGAGAAAGUUUUAUUUUGGUAAAUUUUGUUUUGAGAGGAAAAAGUUUUGAUAGGACAAAGUUUACUUUGGUCAAGGUUUAUUUUGGGAAAAUCCACCCUUUUCAGCCCAAAAGCUCUGUUGGAGGUCAGAAAACCUCCUUGGAGGUCCAGAGUUUAAAAGGUUUAGGGGCGUGCUUUCAUGGGGGAUUUCUCCAGAUUAGGCUGAGAGAUCUUUCCAACCUUCAAGAUUUUAUCAUUUCAGGCUAAAAAAAAAAACUUUUUUAAGGGACCACAAAAUGGCCGCCCUCCCUGAGGGCUCCCUCAGCCUCCCUCCUGUGCCAGGAGGGGGGAGCCAAGGCUGUGCCCCCCUUUUUGGCAUCUCCAUGGCCGGGGGGCUCUUCGUCACCCCGGGGGCUCCUCCUCACCCUGGGGGGCUCCCGACCAGACAGGAUCUGCAAAGUGGGCACUGGCCAAGUGCUCCUGGCUGCAGCUCUGGGGUUUGGCACGCCCCCAGGAAAGCCCCGAGGCUCUAAAGCAAAGCUCUGAGCCCCGCAGGGAAUCCCAAAGCCCCCAGUGGGAGCUCUGAGCCUUUUGUGUGGUGCAGCUGCCAUUUUGUGUGGUGCGGCUGCCAUUUUGUGUGGUGCGGCCACCAUUUUGUGAGGCGAGGCUGCCAUUUUGCAUCGCAAUUCCAACUGCCCCCCCCUUAAAUACUGGCCCCUCCCCUAAUUACCACCCCCCUAAUUACCCUUUCCCCACCCCAAUUACUGUCCCAGGCAGUUGUGUAAUGCCACAGAGCGGGGGAUCGAGGGGUGCGGGGGUUUUCCUGCAUCGAGACUGCUUGAGGUAGCUGAGGGAGCCGCCAGGUCCCAGCAGCCACAGAAUCUCACAGAAUGACAGAAUCUCACAGAAUGACAGAAUUUGAGGGAUCGGGAGGGGCCUCAAAAGACCAUCUAGUCCAAUCCGUGUCCCUGGUGGAUGAGGGAAAGGCUGCUGAUGUCGUCUGCUCAGCCUUCAGCGAGGCCUUUGGUGCGGUCUCCCACAAUAUUCUCCUGGAGAAGCUGCAGCCCAGGGCUUGGACAAGUACACUCCUUACAGAAAAAGAAUGUUUUUCUUUAAAAAUAUGGUUAAAAACUGGCUGGAGGGCCCGGCCCAGAGAGUGGUGGUGGUGAAGGGAGAGAAAUCGAGCUGGUCGUGAGUGGUGUUUGCCCAGUGGGGCCCACCCUCGUUAA
ensembl:lncRNA